rnacentral:lncRNA from 1 species
GGGGAUCCCAGGGCUGUGUGCAUGCCCGCUGUGUGCAAACGCUCUACCCACUGAUCACAUUGCUAGCCCUCCUGUAGCCAUUUGUCACUUUGCAGCUGAGGAAUAAUUGGGGACGAAUGGACAGGCUGACAGAAGGCAGAGGACUGAAUGGCCUCAGUCCUAGGCCUGGACAGCUGACCAGGUCAGGAAGGAAGCCGGAAGCCCGAGCAACCAUGUGUCCAGGUCCAGCUCUGGCCUCUGCCUGCCCACACAUCCUCAGGGCUGAGCUGGUCACUGGGGCUGAUUGAAAAGGCAAGAUGAUCCUGGGAAGCCUUUAAAGUGUGGGAAGCAAGCAGAUGACAUAGCUCCACUCGGUGCUGUCCUGGAUGGCCCCUUAGUUGUCAGCUUCUAACCCUGGCCUCCCGAAUGCUCCCUGAAAGCACCAAACACAUUCCAGCCCCAGGGCCUUUGCACUUGCUGUUUUUGUUGGCUGGAAGCUUUUCCUGUCCCUCGGGUGUCUACAGGGCUCCCUCCUCCUCCCCACUCCCUUCAGGAUUCUGCUCAAUGGUCGACUUGAGCCCCUUUCACUCACCAUGAGAGGCACCUGCCCCUCCUCCUUCAAUUCUCACCACUCUGUACGAGGUCAGAGGUGGUUUCCGGUCUGGACGUGAAGAGGCAGUGAUUGUCUCCGAUGAGGGCAAGUCCUGGUGAGUCACUGGCUGAGCGCUGACCAGU